CGGGGGGCGGAGCUCCGCCGCCGGGCGCGCAGCGCGGCUAAUUAAGUAACUUGCUUGCAGAAGUCUCGGUUUCCUGCUGAGGAUCCGGGUCCCCGCAGGUGGGGUGAAUACGGCGGGAGGGUCAAAGGAUGACCAAGUGGAUGGAGACUGUGAAGAGCGAGCAAGCGAGGAAUUUUAUAGGUGGAGAAACGUGUGGAUGGGACGUCGUGGGGGCAGCGUGGGCUUGCCGCCUGAGUUCGCGCCUCGCUCCCGUGAGUGAUGGGACCUGAUGCGGAAGGACGGAUGUUCUCUUGCGCCUUGGAAGUGUUUAAAGAAUUCCACCACCACCCCCAGUGAAAAAAAAAGGUAAACAUUGUUUUUCCAACAUGAAGUAUGGAGGAAAAGGAGUCUCGAAAGGGCUGGGGUCUGACAGGAGAAGGGGUGUAUCUAUUCCCUGGUAUGAAGGACAAGAGUAAUGAGGUGAGAUGUAAACUGAGUAUUGACUCACUAUGCUUUAUGAAAAGAAAUGUUUACAGACAGCUGGAGCAAGUCAGCUUACAUGCUGGGAGCAAUACCUGUGCAGACCAUUCUGGAAAUAUCUAAGGGCAGAGAGAAGCCCCACAUUUUAAUAUUUGUCCUGCUCUGUGGAAGCAGUUUUAUUCAAGUUUAUUAUGAGAUUAGGAACUGCAGAGGGGAAAAAGAAGAAAGAAGCAAUGGAAAUCUCAUAGAUCAAGAGCAAUCAGAUGACCAAGAUAAAAAAAAAAAAAAAGACUGUGAGAACAAGGAAGAUAAUAACAGAACAAAUGAAAGAAAACAAAUGGAAUAAAGAGAAAAAGGAAUAACACUUGCAGAUAACAAGAGAACAAAAAGUGGAGUUGCUAGCAGCUGGAAGAAUGAGGAGAUUCAUGACACUCUGCAGAGAAGGGGCAAAUAGCUUGGUGUCAAGAAUACAGCCCAAAAUCUUGGGAUACCAUUAAGGAGAGAGAAAAAGCUGAUUUUGAUAAAGAAGAAGGUGACCUAUAUUGAGACUGGGAUCUAGCAGGAGUAGACACUGAAAACUGAAAAUAAUCAUCACUUAAAAUAUAUAAACAAGCAUCUGCCUCCUAAAAGGAGAGACUUGAUAUAUUUGGAGGCAAACCAUCCCUGAGUUCCAGGUAAACCUAACUUUGCUUUAGUUGUGCAAAUGCAAAAUAAAGACCUUUUGGAAUGGAGCUGUGGUCUAGGAGCUAAAGUACUCUUCGUAGUUCUAUGACAUUUGUCUUCAUGCUAGAAAGAACUGUGUAUCUGAAUAUUAUGUUUCCUUUAGAUCCUCAUUCAGAGAAAUGUUUGCUUCCUAGAUUCCAACCAUCCUGUGUAAUUACAUCUGCAUAUUCUUGGGCCAUAUCUGUAGUUACACCAUUUAUACUUAGUUGCCUACGGGAAAUUAAAAGACCCUGAAGAUUGCUGAAAUAAUAUGUAAGCCUGGUCAUCUCUUCAUGGAACUGUGCUGAUCUUGGUGCUGUCUGACACUGAUUGGCCUGUUGAUAGCACAUGGUUUUACUCAUGAUGGACUAUCCUGGACUCUGAUGACACUAGUGAUAUUGGGUGGCUGUAUUCUUGUAUACCACAAUACAUAGCAUACUGAAAACACAUGAAAUAUUUCUUGAGUAGAUUAGAUAUGGCACACCUGGGUGGCUCAGCAGUUGAGCAUCUGUCUUCCGCCAAGGGUGUGAUCCUGGAGUCCCGGGAUUGAGUCCCACAUCAGGCUCCCUGCAUGGAGCCUGCUUCUCCCUCUGCCUAUGUCUCUCUGCCUCUCUCUCUCUCUCUCUCUGUGUCUCUCAUGAAUAAAUAAAUAAGAUAUUAAAAGAAAAUUCUACUACCUUCAGAAGAAUCCCAAUCCUAAUUCCUCCAAACAUACUUUAUUUAAUCUUUUUUUAAAAAAAGAUUUUAUUUAUUUAUUCAUGAGAGACACAGAGAGAAAGAGGCAGAGACACAGGGAGAGAAGCAGGCUCCAUGCAGGGAGCCUGAUGUGGGACUCCUCCCUGGAACUCCCGGAUCAUGUUCUGGGUGUAAAGGCAGGCGCUAAACUGCUGAGCCACCCAGGCAUCCCAGUAGUAGAAUUUCUAGUCUGCUGGGAAGAAUUCUAUCCACAGAGAAGAAACAGGAAUAUAGGAUAUUGAGGAAGGAAAGCUGAAUUCUGAAUUCUACUCUGAACUGCAAAUAAUUAAUAUCUACACUCCAGGACCGUUGGACUGGAGCUGGUUUGUUGUGUUAUGUUGGUUCUUGGCUGGCAAAAACUGAUUGCCAAGUUUUCAAGAAUCUUGCAAGCUGGUUGUUAGACUAUUAGUAGCUUAAAAUUGGCCCUGGUGGGAGUAUUUUUACUAUGGAAAUCUAUCAGAUAGAAGCAAACAUCGCAAUGGGCUUUUUCUAGCAGGUAGAAGCAAACACUGAAAUGGGCCUCUCUCCCCCUAGAGAGCUAGUUGUUAAUCAUCUACAGGCACAUUACUGACUCUAGGUAAAAGAGAUGGACUCAAACACAUUCCUCAUUUGCCUGGGACAGUCUCAUUAUACUGCAGUUUUCCUGAUGUAGGUAUUAAUAGCUCUGCUUUCACUGCUGAAAUAUCUACUUUGCACAAUAUAUAUUUGGUUAUUCUAGCUCAAGGGCACUCUUAUGGAGCAGUAAACUGUCCUCUGGUUUGUGGUCAGGCUCAGGGACUCCUUAGUAUAAGACCCCAGUUGAGAUUUGGACCUACAGAGUUUGAGAAACACCACAUUCAACUAUCCUCUUGUUUAACAUCUUUAAUUCAUUCUCCUAAAUACAGUGCUAAUUAAAAAUCCAUUUUCAAAAAAAUAAUUUUCACUAAUUUUAAUGGGAAGAAUUAUGAUGCCUUAAAUCCCAGCCCAAGAUCUUAUAUAAUUUUUGCAGAAAAAUAUAACAACUAAAUAAUACAAAUGUGUAUAAGUAACAAGUGAUAAUUUGAAAAUAAACAAACAUGAUUUGCAUGUAAAACCUAAUGUAAUGAAGGUGUUUUUUUUUUUUAUAAAUUUUUAUUUCUUUAUGAU